GAUCCUGGCUCAGGAUGAACGCUAGCGACAGGCCUAACACAUGCAAGUCGAGGGGCAGCGGAGAGGUAGCAAUACCUUUGCCGGCGACCGGCGCACGGGUGAGUAACACGUAUGCAAUCCACCUGUAACAGGGGGAUAACCCGGAGAAAUCCGGACUAAUACCCCAUAAUAUGGGCCCUCCGCAUGGAGGGUCCAUUAAAGAGAGCAAUUUUGGUUACAGACGAGCAUGCGCCCCAUUAGCCAGUUGG
rnacentral:rRNA from 1 species